AGAGGAUUAAUCCUGAUUUGAACUCUUCGAAUUUGAAGUGCUUAUGUACUAUGAUUUGAAUAUGGUUUAUCCCCAUCCAAAGUCAUGUUGAGGAUGGGUUCCCAAUGUGACAGUGUUGGGAGGUGGUACCCUUAAGAGGCAUUUGUGUCAUGGGGAAUCUCUCCUGAUGAGGGUAUGAAUGCAGUCUCUUUGGAGUGGGAGAGUUCUUGUGCUCAUGGGACUGGAUUAGUUACUGUGAGGAGGUUGGUUGUUAUAAAGUGAGUCUGCCUCUUGUGCUUGGUGUCUUUUGCGUGUACCUGUUUCCCCUUUUGUUUCUUUGCCAUGUUUUGAUGCCCUCAAAAGAAGUUGUCGGAUGUGACUGCCCAGUCUUGAACUUCCCAGCCCUCAAAACUAACAGAACAUAUCUUCCAGUAGCUUCC
rnacentral:lncRNA from 1 species